UACAGAGGGUGCGAGCGUUAAUCGGAAUUACUGGGCGUAAAGCGUGCGUAGACGGCUAUCUAAGUCGGGUGUGAAAGCCCCGGGCUCAACCUGGGAAUUGCAUUCGAGACUGAAUAGCUAGGGUACGGUAGAGGGAAGUGAAAUUUCCGGUGUAGCGGUGAAAUGCGUAGAUAUCGGAAGGAACAUCAGUGGCGAAAGCGACUUCCUGGACCAGUACCGACGUUCAGGCACGAAAGCGUGGGGAGCAAACAGG
rnacentral:rRNA from 1 species